GCGCUCUCUUUGGCAACACUUGUACUAAAAUUGGAAUGAUACAAAGAAAAUUAGCAUGGCCCCUGCCCAAGGAUGACUCCAAAUUCAUGAAGCAUUGCAUAUUUUU
ensembl:snRNA U6 U6 spliceosomal RNA